rnacentral:tRNA from 1 species
GCCCCUAUAGCUCAGUGGAUUAGAGCAGCGGGUUUCUACCCCGCGUGUCCCGGGUUCGAGUCCUGGUAGGGGCGC